GUGCUCAUUUCUUCAGCACAGAUGCUGAAAAUGUAACCAUACAGAGAAGAUCAGAGAGAUUCCCAGUCAAGGAUAGUCUGCAAAUUUUUGAAGAAUUCCAUAUUUUA